UUUAUGCCUGUUAUGAUUCCGUGUUCCAUGUUUUAUUACGAAUCUGUGUGCUUUUCUCUGUUUUAUAUUACUUAUGGGUGCCGUAUUUAUGAUAUGUAAUCUUGUGUUGUGCUUUACUAUGUGUUUGUGUGGUAUCGCGUGCCUUGAGCCGGGGGUCUAUCGGAAAUAGCCUUUCUACUUCUUUAGAGGUAGAGGUAUGGACUGCGUACAUCUUACCCCCCC
rnacentral:lncRNA from 1 species